GUAGUCGGAUUCGCAUCAAUCUACAUGUGUUGGGGUGGGUUGGAGUAGAACUUGAACUAAAUUACACCCCGAUCCACUUCAACACAUGUAGUAGAUUGAGGUAAAUCCGACA
rfam:Sorghum bicolor cultivar BTx623 chromosome 9, whole genome shotgun sequence.